rnacentral:rRNA from 1 species
UACGUAGGGGGCUAGCGUUGUCCGGAAUCAUUGGGCGUAAAGAGCGUGUAGGCGGUCCGGUAAGUCCGCUGUGAAAGUCGGGGGCUCAACCCUCGAAUGCCGGUGGAUACUGUCGGGCUAGAGUGCGGAAGAGGCGAGUGGAAUUCCUGGUGUAGCGGUGAAAUGCGCAGAGUAUCAGGAGGAACACCGAUAGCGAAGGCAGCUCGCUGGGACGGUACUGACGCUGAGGCGCGAAAGCGUGGGGAGCGAACAGG